rnacentral:lncRNA from 1 species
AGCACUUUUCAAGUUUGGACGCCUUGCUCAGCGAUAUAUGCAUAUCAACUUCGGCUGCUCCUACUUAUCUUCCUGCCCACAAAUUCGAAACUAAGGAACCUGAUGGCAGCACAAGACAAUUUCACAUGAUCGAUGGUGGCAUGGCGGCCAACAAUCCGGUAAGAUAUUAUACUUCAUCUAUCCCAUGUUAAUUUGAGAACCGUGCACUAAUUAUUUUAUUACAAAAUUAUUACUUUCCUCAUGAUUACUGCAAUUCUAUAUCUGUCGACUGUAUUUUCUUCAGACCUUAGUUGCUAUGGCCCAAGUGACUAGGGAGAUUAGUCGAGGAAAUCCCGACUUCGCCUCUGUCGGUUCAUCGGAUUAUAGUCGUUUCAUUGUUCUGUCCUUGGGAACGGGUACUACAAAAGCGGAAGGGUUUGAUGCUGAGGAUGUUGCCAAGUGGGGACUUUUGUCUUGGCUGACAAAUGCUAAUACAACUCCUAUAAUAGAUAUAUACACUCAAGCAAGUGGCGAUAUCGCUGAUCUUCAUCUUUCCACUAUUUUUCAAACUAUGCAGUGUCAAGAAAAUUAUCUGCGAAUUCAGGUAAAAGUCUUUGCGCUGUACUCUGUUAUCUUUUUUUGCUUACACUUGAAAAAAUAAUUAAGAAAAAAAAAUUGGAAGUAAAAAAGAAAGCAAUAUGACUUGUAUUAGUACAAACCUUGAAGGCCCUGAUUUAUAGUUUUUCUGUCCUCCAAAUAGUAUAUAAGCGUACACUUGUACAUGCAUAUUUCAGGAUGACACGUUAUCUGGAGACCUGGGUUCUGUGGAUCUUGCCACAAAGAAAAAUUUAGAGAAUCUUGUCAAAGUUGGGGAGAAUUUGUUGAAGAAACCAGUUUCUAGGACUAAUUUGAAGACUGGUGCUAGUGAGCCCGUGAACAGAGGCUCAAAUGAGGAGGCUCUCAAAAGGUGCAAACCCUUUGAUCUUUUGCUUACAAUGAAUUAAUUCAAGUUAUCCGCUCUUCGACUACCCUUUGAUCUUUUGGUUUGAAUAUGUAGGUUGGCAGCAGCACUCUCUGAGGAGAGGCGCCUUCGUCAUUCGAACAAGUCCAAGAAUUUCUCUUCUCUGAAUCCUCAACGCUGUUGAGUUAACUCGUCGCCUAAAUAUUAGUAAUAUACAUAUUGCAUGUUGACUACGUAUGUGUAUGUGGAAAAUAAAUAAAUCCCCGAUCAGUGUCCGUACCAAUUCCGGGGAAGAGAUCGGAAUUUCCUUCCGGUAUCAACGAAAUUUGUUUUCAAGAAUCUGUGCUUUGAAAUUCGAAUAAUCAGCUUAUUUAUUGUUUUGUUUUUAUACAUUUCCAGUUGCUCAUAAUGAUGAAAUAUUUAUAAACAAAUUCAGUAAUACUGCAAAUUAAUCAACAAAUGGUGAGACGAAUGACAAACAAAUUUAGCAGAUGAAUGUACAAACUCUAUUUGUACACAAGAUGGAUCAAUCUUUUCCGAGUGAUGGAUUGAUACAGAAAUAAAUUGCAGACAGCGAAAGACAAAUACGUCGCAAUAAGGUGGACCUGCACUGGACGUACGCCUACUAGGAUAUAGGAUGUACAACUAGUUUUUCAGGACUCCAAGAUAUCAGGAUGUCCUCUACAGAAAAUGCCCUACAAAGGUCCUUUUGCACCUUCACUGCCGAAUAAGUAUGUGCUUGGUAGUAUCAUGUCCUCUUACACCUAAAAAAAUUAGGCCUAUUUCUCGGUCUUUUUGAUUAUCUAGCAUUAUGAAAUAGAAAAACUACUCCUACUUCCUAUCAACCUCGACAGAAAACCAGGAAUAAUCUUCUUUUACUUUCUAUGCUAAUUAAUAUCGCCCAUCUUUCAAAAUGUAUAAACAAUUCCAAUUGUUAACUGCUAUAAAAGAGCAGUACUGAUUUAGUGGUUAUAUUACUGACUAUAGUAAUUGCAUAUUCCUAACUACAUGGAAAAUGAAUUUGUCUUUAUUAGGGUAUUAGACCAACUAUUUGAAAAAGAAAAGACCAACAAUUUAAUAAAAAAAAAAUCUAACACGAAUGAUGAGCAAUGUACAAGAAUUAAUGUGGUUCGGCUUAAUCACCAAGCCAACAUCCACAGAAAGAAAAAUUUGUUCUUAUUAUGAGAGGAAAAACAUCACAAGAUUACAACUUGUUUCUCAAUCCCCAAUUCUUAUAUAACUCUCUCACCCACUAAGAACUCUCUCACUCCUUUAUUGUGUCUUGUUGUAGUAUGUCAAUCUACCUAUUUAUAGAGAACAUUACUUGGCCAAAAAAUCAAAUAACAAUUGGAAUGCAAUAUUAAUUCCUAAAUUUAUACAGAAUAGGAAAUAACAUCUAAAUCCUAAAUCAAAUAGGAGAUUCCUUGAUUACUAUUUCAAGUAACUAAAUCCAAUUAGAAAACUAGUUACUUCCCGCACUAAAUAGGGAUCUUGACUAAAAGAAAUUAAAUCAAUUUCCUAACAAAUCUCCACUUUGGCGAAUAUUCCUUUUAGCAAACACAGUAAAUCAUCCAAAAAACUCCAUUUGGAUUUUUCCACCAAAUAUCUUAGUGCCUAACUACACACCCGAAUCAAGACGAUUUUGUUUUCAAUUGAUUCAAUCGGCAAAUGAACGUGUGUAACUAACCAAAUCCAACAUCUAAUUGACUCGCGAGAGGGGUCUCAAUUCACCCUUUCCCAUAGCAGGACUUUCCUCUCAUCACCAUUUAUAAUUUGAAAGCAUUCCUGGAUCCUCUUUUGCUCCCAAUCCAUUAAGGUAUUCAAAAAGUACAAAUUAUCAUACUUCUUCCCUAUCAACAAGACCGUCUCGUCAUGUGUGAUUUUCAAGACUCCACCUACAGUCCAAAAAUGGUAGCUCUUGGAGUUUAACUAGCUCAAAGAAAUUAGAUUCUUUCGUAACUUUAAGACAUAAGUCACAUCACCCAAAGAACGAAUAUCUCCAUUCAACAUUUUAAUUUUUACCUUUCUAACAACACCUUUGACUUCACAAGUAGAUCUAUCACCCAAGGACACAAAAUCUGUCUUCUUUCUUUGGAGAGUAUCAAAAUAGUCUAACUUGGAGUAAACAUGUGAAACACAAUCAGAAUCUAAAAUUCAACCAUCACGAGAAGAAGUAUUAUUACCCUUGGAGAUUGUGAGAAUAUCUCCAUUCGAUACAUAUCCAGCAACACCAUCAUAUUCAUUCUCAUCAUUUUGCUUUUGAUGAGGGCAAUAUCUUUCGAUAUGAUCAAAUUCAUGACAACCAAAGCACUGGACUCUACCAUUUCUCUUGACUUUUGGACCACCUGCCUUACAUUCACCUCCAAAUUAUUUUUCUCUUUUAUUUUCACCUCGAGCAAUUAACGCAACUUCUUGUAUUACAUCUUGGUUUGCCUUCAAUGACGGAGCCAAGGGGGGGCAGAGGGGGGCCAUGGCCCCCCCUAAGUUUUGAGAAUUUUAAUUCAUAAUAUGUAAAUAUGUGUGUAAAAUAAAAUUGGCCCCCCCUAAAUUUUUUCAAUUUUAGUUUAUAUUAUGAGAGUUGAUAUAUAUAUAUAUAUAUAUAUAUAUAUAUAUAUAUAUAUAUAUAUAUAUAUAUAUGAAUUAGUCAUCUUUGAAUGGAAUUUCAAUUUUGGCCCCCCAAAAAAAAAAAUCCUGGCUCCGUCACUGUUUGCCUUCCUUUGUUUUUCAUGAUCUAACAAAGAAGACAACACAUUCUCAAACUCUAAGAUGUCCUUCCCAUACAACAGGAUCGUCACGACACUAUUGUAAGAAUCAGAGACUGACGUACGAAAUAAAAGGGCAUUAUCUUUUUUCUCAAUAUCUACGCCAACCUUUUGGAGUUGAUCCAAAAUUCUAUUGAAUGUAUUCAUGUGAUUUAUGAGACUGCCACCCUUCUCCAUCUUUAGUGUAUAAAGUUGUCGCUUCAGAUGCAACUUAUUGGAUAAGCGUUUAGCCAGAUAAAGCUUUUUCAAUUUUUUCCAGAGGUUUGCUGUAGAAUCUUCCUCAUCUAUCACAUUAUUUAUAAUGUUGUCCGCCACAUAAAGUCGAAUCGUGCUCGCACACCUUGCGUCCAACUCCUCAAACUCAUUAUUCUUCAUGUUUUCUGAUUUCUUGUUCUUUCCAUUCAACGCUUUUGUCAAAUCUUGUUCAAUUAAAUAUCCUUCAGUCUUCUUUGCCAAAGAGUGAAAUUUGUAGUUUCAUUAAACAGUUGAAUUGAAAACUGUAUAGUUCCAAAUCCCAUGGUAUACCACCACCCACUCAAUUUCAAAUAAUUAACCAAAAUCCUAAUGGAGCUGUGAUACCACUUGUUAGGAUAUCAGACCAACUAUUUGAAAAAGAAAAGACCAACAAUUUAAUAGAAAAUAAUAUCUAGCACAAAUGAUGAACAACGCACAAGAAUUAACGUAGUUCGGUUUAAUCACCAAGCCUAUGUCCACGGAGAGAAAAACUUGUUUUUACUAUGAGAGAAAAAAUAUCACAAAAUUACAACUUGAUAACCACAACUCUUAUAUAACCCUCUCAUCCACUAAGAACUAUCUCACUCCUUUUUUGUAUUUUUUUGUAGUAUGUCAAUCUACCUAUUUAUAAAGAACAUUAUUUGGCCAAAAAAUCAAAUAACAAUUGGAACCCAAUACUAAUUCCUAGACUUAUACAAAAUAGGAAAUAACAUCUAAAUCCAAAAUCAAAUAGGAGUUUUCUUGACUACUACUUCAAGUAAUUAAAUCCAAUUAGGAAACUAGUUACUUCCCACACCAAAUAGGGAUCUUGACUAAAAGAAAUUAAACCAAUUUUCUAACAGUCUUCUCUUUUCAAAUUAUAUUGGUCAAGCUUGAACUUCAUACUCCCAACAUAGGCAAGGCCAAAUUUGACCGAGAUUUAUUGACAGAUGUCGAACUUGUGCAAUAAUAAAUACUUACUCAAUUAAAAUACAAAUUUUGUAUAUAGCGGUUCUCUCAUUCUUGAAUUGUAUCACGUUAAAGCAGAAAUUGUAGCUGAAGACUCGAAUCUGUUGCAACUAAUGGAGAAUUAAACUCUGCAGCUACUAAAGAACUGAAAAAUCACUUGUACAGGUUGCUUCUAUAACUCAAUUCCUGUGAGCUUCCCUAGUUUUUUCCUUCAAACAUUAGAGGCAUCUUAGUGUGACUUGACAUCUAGCUAUGUUUUUCUUUGGUUCGGCGGGUUUCUCAAGUGACCAUAAAAAAUGUUACUCAUGUAAUUGCUAAACAACGAAAGAGUCCUGACUCCAGUGUUUACUUUUUGUCCUGUGACAUCCUUAACACAGACGUUGCAUUCUUCGAGCCGGAUAAUUCCAAGUCUAGACUUUUUCAUGAGAACACAGGAGGGCCUGAAUGUUUAGUGUUUGGAAUGCAUGAAAAAAUUAUUAGAGUAUAGCAUAGAAGCUGAGAUCAAGACCCGCUGUAAGACGCCGUCUGUGAAACAUGUGUUGGAUGAAAUUCACGGCUUUGAAUGAACAAUAUAUGCAGUUGAUCGUUGGAUAAGGGUAACAAAAUCUACCAAGGUGUCCUGGAAAUUUUUAUUGACUUGCACAAUUGAUUAUGAAAUUAACGAGUCUCCAAUGAUCAUCAAAUCAAAAGACAGACAUAUGCAACUAUCAAUUUCAACUUGGUUCUAACGAAUGCUGAAAAGAGGACAAUCUAUGCAUGUGACACGUCGUACAACGAUAAGAAAUUUUUGAACAUAGGAACAACCAUAAAUGAAGGCUAAAGACUAAGACCAUAAAUGAUUAGGGAUGGCAACGGGGCGGGGUUGGGGCGGGGGACCCCUCCCCCACCACCCGCCCCGUUGCCUAUUAAUUCCCCCCGACCCCCGCCCCGUCCCCCGCCUCCCACUCCCCCCGCCCCGCCCCCCGCUUCCCCCGCGGGGGCACCCGCGGGGUUAAUAAAAUUUUAUUAUUGUUAAAUUUUAAUAAAUAAUCAAGUAUUAAAAUAUCAACACAUCAUCAAGUUAUUAUUUAUUGUAAUUUUACAAUUGAAACUCAUAAAAACAAUCAAACAAAAGUUAUUUGAAUACAAUCCAACAUGAUGAAAUAAAUACAACUAAAAUAGUCAAGUUUUCACUUUUGGUACAAAUACAAUCACUAAUUCAUUAUUGUGUUUGUGCUUUUUUUUUUAAAAAAAGUGUUAUUCUAUUAAGUGUAAUUAGAAAUUUAGUAUAAAUGUAUUAGUAAAUUUAGUAUAACUAAUUAAUAAAUUCUAUUAGUAGACAUGUCUAAUUAUUCAUAUAAUUGAUAAUAUCAAUUAUAUUACAUACACUAAUAUACAUUAUAUAAUACAUCUAACUAAUAAUAUCAUUAUCAUAAGUUUAUAACUAAUUAAAUUACAUAUUAUAUAUAUAUUUAUAUAUAUAUACUUUUUUUUUUGCGGGUGGCGGGGCGGGGGAUGGGGCGGGGGUAUACUCCCCCGCCCCGUUUCUAAACGGGGGGAAAAAAUUCCCCCCUGUCCCGCCCCAACCCCCGCCCCGAUUGCCCCCCGCAGGGCGGUUGCCUGGGGGCGGGUGCAUUGCCAUCCCUAUAAAUGAUGACUAAAGACUGUUAACUUUAUUGAUGGAACUUUGUGAUCAAUGGCUCGAUUUCUUGACCUUUGACAUUUGCGUAUAGGAUCAAUGCGAGAAUUAUACAACAGAAAGUAACAACAAAUGGACACAUUGAUAAGUUACGUGCAAACAGCCUUGUCUGUUGUAUUGUCUUCAUAAUCCAAUAAUGCAGCUUCAGUGUUACAAAAAUUUCUUCCUUUAACUUGUUAUGUUCGUUAUAGCGACCUGCUAAAUGUAACUGUGUUAGCAGUGGACAUGCAGUACAGUUGAAAUUUUUUGCAAAUUGCUUUAUAUCCUGCUAUCCUCCCGGUUCCCUCAUUCUUGAAUUGUACUACGUUAAAGCGGAAAUUGCAGCAGAAGAGAAAUUACUCGAAUCUGUUGCAACUAAUGGAGAAUUAAACUCUGCAGCUACUAAAGAACUGAAAAAUCACUUGUACAGGUUGCUUCUAUAACUCAACUCCUGUGAGCUCCCCAUGUUUUUUCCUUCGAACAUUAGAGGCAUCUUGGUGUGACUUGACAUCUAGCUAUGUUUUUCUCUGGUUUGGCGGGUUUCUGAAGUCACCAUCAAGCAUGUUACUCUUGCAAUUGCCAAACAACGAAAGAGUCCUGACUCCAGUGUUUACUUUCUGUCCUGUGACAUCCUUAACACAGACGUUGCAUUCUUCGAGCAGGAUAAUUCCAAGUCAAGACUUAUCCAUGAGAACACAGGAGGGCCUGAAUGUUUAGUGCUUGGAAUGCAUGAAAAAAUUAUUACAGAGUAUAGCAUAGAAGCUGAGAUCAAGACCCGCUGUAAGACGCCAUCCGUGAAACUUGUGUUGGAUGAAAUUUCAUGGCUUUGAAUGAACAAUAUCUGCAGUUGAUCGUUGGAUAAGGGUUGCAAAAUCUACCAAGGUGUCCUGGAAAAUUUUAUGAACUUGCAUAAUUGAUUAUGAAAUUAACGGGUCUCCAAUGAUCAUCAAAUCAAAAGACAGACAUAUGCAACGAUCAAUUUCAACUUGGUCCUAGCGAAUGUUGAAAAGAGGAUAAUCUAUACAUGUGACACUCGUUGUACAACGUACAACGAGAGAAAUUUUUGAACAUGGGAACAACCAUAAAUGAAGACUAAAGACUAAUACCAUAAAUGAAGACUAAAGACUAAGGAGGUUGCGUUUUAGACUCACUAAUCCGGCUUAGUCAAAGACAAAGGGAAUCAACUUAUCCUCUAAAUCAAUGAUAACCCAAUAAAUGAAAAGGGAUUUACUAAAACCAGCGUCACUCUAUAGUGACAGCUGGGGAAAUCGUCUUCUAUCCUUAUCUGCUAUAAAUUUAUUGAUUUCAGAUGGGGUAUUGCAGCAAUUAAAUUAACAAUGCUGCAGUUUUGUAUUUGGGUUAAGUUCGGUUCAUAUAUAAUGAUGUACAUUAACUUUAUUCCAGCAACUGAGACUCUUAUAAUAUGGAGAUCAAAGGCAAUCUUUUAAUUUGCUCACAGCUUCGGAAUGAAUUCAUAUCACAAUAUUAAUGUGACAAUAACCCGAGUGACAUUCAACCACCCAGGACCGAUAUAUCGAUUACGACUUGGAACCUAACCAUUAAUAAAUACAUACUGCCUUGAGACGUUAAUGAUUGCAGCCUGUAAUUUCUUUUGUACUCAUUUUUUUGGUUUUUAGGUGUAGCAAUUGAUUCCUUAAAAAAAAAAAAAGUGUAGCAAUUUAUGGGAAAGAUUAUAUUGUCUAAAGCUUACAAAUUCUUUCUUUUUCCCUUUUCUGUUUUUUUUUUCAUUUAACACUCCGCAUGUGAAGUGAUGAAUCCUAUUCGAGUAGCUGUCACAUAAGUUGAUAUGACAAUUGAAAAGCCCUACAAACUCCUUCCCACCUCCCAAACAAAAAAGGGUAAUUUCACAAACCUCCCAUGUAUGAGGUUUGCCUUAAUAUCACUUAGUACCCUCAUGGUUUUCAAAAUAUCUCUUACCUCCCCUUGAUUGAUAUGUCUUGUAACAUUGUCACCCCUUGUGCAUUAAAACAUUCAUAGAUAAGGAGAGAUAAUAAUUUAUUUUCAUUUGUACCUUUUUGUUAUCCUUUAUAUAAAUAUUAAAAUAAACCUAAUAAGUAAAAGACAAAUUGAAAGAGAUGUAAGUGCAAUAAAAAGAAGUUGCAGCAAAUAAGUAAUGUUAUAACUUUGCAAUGACAAAUCAUCUAACUCUAGGAUUAUAAAGACAACAAGAUAACAAAAUAAAAAACACGAGUUCAAUGGCAAAAGAAGCAAUUUAAAGAGGAAAUUAGUAGAAGAUAUUAUUGCAAAUCAUAACAAGUUCUAAUAUUAAAGACACUUUAUAAUUCACCAACAGCAUUUAAUAUAAAAAAUUGAUAUUAUUAAUUACAAUAAGAAGACGACAAUUAGGAUUUUGAAAGCGAAAGAAAUCCAAAUAAGUUAUAUUUGCUUCUAAUGUCCAUUUGAUGUGCUUUUGAUGUAUUAGGUAAUAGUAAUGAUAGAUGUUCCCUAUCUUUUAUUACUAUAAGAUAAAAAAAGUCACAAUUACAAAUGAUAAUUUUGUUAAUUAUUGUCCUGAUAUUUUUACUUUCCAAAUUCUUUUUUUUUUGUGCAAAUUUUAGUCAAUCAAUUAAGGAUUUCCAGAAGGGUAAUAUUGUCCAUUUAUUACCCAUGAUAGAGAAAUCUUGUCUUGUUAAUUUAACAGGGGAGGUAAAAGAGAUUUUUGAAACUAUAAGGUGCUAACUGAUACUAAGACAAAUCUGAGGAGAGGUUUGUGAAAUUAUUCCAAAAAAAUGGGCAAUGAAUAAUAAAAAGAAAUCGUAGAAUUAGCUAUACUGAAAAACAACUUUAAGCCAAUUAAGAAUAAUACAUAGAAAAUUGGUGUUGUAUUCUCAUUGGUUGGAUGAAAAGAGGAGGUCAUGCAUAGUACCAACAACAUUUGAGGAGAAAUUUGAAUUUAUUCCUUUCGCGGAUAAACUCUUAAAUCUUAAUUUUUUUUUGUAAUGUAGACAAGAAGAAACUGUCAAGUUGUAAAACUCAUGCUCUGCGCUCUAGUAAGAUUUUUUUUUUGGCAAGUGUAAGGAUUUGAAUCAAAGAUUUUCUGCAUACAAUCCCUCCUAUUUUACCACCUGAUCUAACAUUCCCCUACACUCUAAUAAGAGUUAAUUUCUAAUAAACAACUUGUUUUCAAUAAUGUGAAUUUACUUAAUUGUAUUGAAAUCUCAUAUGAUUUUUAUCAUGUAAUACUAAAACAGCAAGACUCCAGUAUUGUCAAUGCCAAGCUAUAAUUUGCACCAACGGAAGAGGCCAAAGGUGUCAAAGUUCCAUAAAAGAAGGACUAAUAUGAGUCAGAUAAAAAAUUAAGGGACUAAAUGUGAAAUGCGUAAAAGCUGAAAAACUUACUACAAGUGACGAACUGAAAGACAUGCUACUGGGAAGAGUUUAACAAAACUGUGUCGUUCGACAAUUGAAUCUUUUCAAAAGCCGCCGCUGUAGCCGUGGAUUCUUUUUCUACUCCUUUUUACCUGUGACCUUUCGGAAAUUAGAGGUGUGAAUUGUAACAAGGGAAACUGAAGCUGGUGGGGCUAUUAGAAAUUGCGCCAUCUUUUGACCGAAAUGCCUUCAUUUCUGUUUGAUUUAUUUUGGAUCCUGUCUUUCUAUUCCUUGGACUUUUUUUAAUCUAAUUUUUAUGUGAAUAUCAGCUAGUGGAUGACAAUCUUGAUUUUUUUUUUUUGGCCCCAUUCCUUUUGUUUGGCGCUGGGCGCAUCUGGAAUCUCAAACGCUUAUAAACUAACAACCUAAUUUUUGUCCUUGUACAGGGUUCCAAAUAUACCAAAAUUUAGUAUAGAAUUGGCUACAAUUCCAGGCUAUAGUACAGAUACCUAAAUAAACUUGAAAAUUUUAUCUGGAAAAGGGUUUGCUAAUAGAAAAGGUGAAUCUCCAUUGGACAUAGAUAGCACGGUCCAUGUGGCUUCUAGUGCUCGUUUUGCGACUAUAACUUGAUUUAGUUGCUUACACCUUUUUUUUUUUUUUUUUUGGGUAAUUGAAGAUGCAUUCAAAGGAAAAUAAAGCAGUCUACAAUAUGAGAUUAGUUUAGUACAGUCAUCCUUGGUGUCGUAACACCUUGGAAUCAUGCUUAACAUUUUUCCAAUGUGAAAUUAAAUCACUUUGGUUUGGUUGUUUCUGAAGUUUGUGUGAACCAGAAGAAAUUGAUCAAAGCCAAUUUAACUUGUGUUCUGAUUCUUCACUCCAAAAUUUUGGUUGCCAUGCAGUUUUAUUCUUUUAAAACAAAAAAAUUCAUGUUUUUAAUCUCUUUUUAUUCCAAAUCCCUAUCACCAACACAAAUUACCAAAUAUAAUUAGAAUCCAUCAAUUAAUGCAAUAUUUGGUAAAAUAAAAGAGAAAAAUAAUCAUAAAAUUAAUGAUAAAAAUACAACCUAUCAAGAAGAAACAAGAAGGACUCAUUUAUUAGGUUUGGCAUUUAUUAACCUUGAAUGCCCUACAACUUUGAGAUAAUUUUAUUUUGACCCUUUAUUGUUUUAAUAAAGUAUAAUAUUGACCCAUUAUAUUUUCCAAAUUAUAUUGUUUACCUAUAACUUUUAAAAGUUUUUCAAUAGAGUUCUUUUGGACUAAAUCUAAACUCAUCAAAUCUUACAUAUAUAAAGCACGAAUAGCUGUGAACAGUGUUUGGUGGACCGGUUAUGCCGUGAUUUGUGUGAGCUUGAGGGGCAUUUUGGUCUUUUGCUGAUGGGUGGCAUUGGUUUUUCUGGAAUUUUAUGAUUCUUGGUUGCAUGAUUUCUUGGUUGCAUGCUAUUGGGGCAGCUUGGCGACACGUUGAUGCAGACAAGGCUUGGUCUCUUGCCAUGCGGGCUCCGGUUCUGCUUGGUCUUUUGGAAGUUAAUAAUUUCUGCUGGCUAGUGGGCGGUGGGCGGUCAGUAGUUUUCUUUCUUCUCUUUUAGCUAUCUUCUUCUUCUUAGUUUUCUUUGGCAGCUUCAGAAAUGACUUGUAAAAUUUUCUUUUGCUUUUGAAGUGAUUCACUGUUUAGUUGGCUUUGCUGGAACCUUUCUUCUCUUUUAGCUUUCUUCUUCUUUUUAGUUUUCGUUGGUAGCUUCAGAAAUGACUUGAAAAGUUUUCUUUUGCUUUUCAAGUAAUUCGCUGUUUAAUUAGCUUUCUUGGAAAUUCGCUUCUGUCGGUGUGGUCCUCUUGUAUAAUUCACUUCAGACGUGUGUUUGGUUUCCCAAUCUCUUGUAUAAUUGUAGUUGCUUUGGCUGCAUUGGUGAGUAGGCGGUGGAUAGUGUCCGCAGCAGUCUCUGGUUUUGUAGGGUGAUGUCUUUACUUUCUCACCUAAUUGAUCUUCUGAGCAAGCUGUGUUUGGUGGGCCGGUUAUACUGUGAUUUUUGUGAACUUGAGGGGUAUUUUGGUCUUUUGGCAUUGGACGGCAAUGGUUUGAUGGAAAUUCACUUCUGUCCGCGUGGGCCUCUUGGAUGGGAACAUUUUGGCGGUCAGCAAUUUCCUCUCAUUCUGUUCUUGGUUAUGUGCUGAAUCCAGUGCGUAACGCUUCAGAGUUUUGGGAGCUGUUACUUUUUCUUUUCUUCGCCUUCUUUACCCGGUGUGUUUUUCCCGUUCCUCAUUCUUCUUCUUAGCUUUUCUCUGGCCAGUGUUUUUUCCUUCCCUUGUUUUCCUAUUACCGGUCCUACCUACCUGACGCAUAGCGUCAGGGCAGAAUACCUAGUAUGUAUAUAACAUUGUAAACCACCAACAUGAGAGGAAUUUUUAUAUAUGAUUUGUAUUAUAUAUGUGACAUAUUUAUGACGUCAUCCGAUUCGACCCUGAUCGAAUCCGGUUGAAUCCAUUGACCCCUGACCCCAUAACUCGAUCGAGUCAAUGUCUGGUCCGAGUCUGAAAACAUAUAGUCUUUUUGCCGCCAAAGAGAUCAAGGACUUCUACCUUGAUGACCCUUGCCCCAAAAUCUUUCCCCAAGCAAGGUAAAUUACCGUCUAAAAAUUAAUAUAUAGUAUUAGGUGUACAUUCAAUAAAAGAACUUCGUUGUAUACUGUUUUCCAACAUAAUUUUAAGUAUCCUAACACAACCACUACAAAUUAGUAAUUCUAUUUCCAUUCAUAAUAUACUCCUACUAUGUAUCGGUUGUACAUUCAAGUAAAGAAUUUUUAUGUAUACUUUUUUCCAAUAUAAUUGUGUGUGAGUGCACUACUCCAACUACUUCAAUGAACUAAUUCUAUUUCCAGUCAUGAUCAGACACGUGGCGCUACUAGAUCAAGCUGAAAAAUAUUUACAGCAGUGUCAGGACCCAAAUAUGACGGAAAAUAUCUCCAUGAUCUGCUCAAGGAAAGUCUCGGGGAGACCAAGUGGCAUGAAACUCUAUCACUUGGAUUAACUGUUUUUGGAGGUGUUUUUAAAAAAUUUUACUAUAGCAGAGUUUUUAUAAUAUAUUUUAGGAUAUUUUUAGAAAAUAUUUUGGGAUAUUUAAUAGUAGAAGAGUUUUUAGAAUAUAUUUUGGAAUAUUUUUUUAAUAUUAAAAAAAAUUUAGACUACUUUUUAGAGUAACUUUUAGGGUAAUUUUAAUAGUUUUUGAAAAAUUAGUUUUUGAAAAAUUCAGCAAUCCAACCAGAGACAUCAAAUUUAUCCAGCCCACAAUCUUCUCCAGCUAUGAGGUUGUUCUUGGUUAAUCAAACCUUUCAAUUUUUUACCAUCAUUUUCUCCUAUAUAUGAAAACUCAUUUUCUUGUUACACUUAAAUGGUUCAGCUGAAACACCACCCAAGUCUAGAUGCCUUUCUCGGAGACACAUGCAAAGGAACUUCGGCUGCCCCUACUUAUCUUCCUGCCCAUCGUUUCGAAGUCCAAGAUUCUGAUGGCUGUGUUAGAAAAUUUAACCUUAUUGAUGGUGGUGUCGCCGCCAAUAAUCCGGUAUCAAUUCUCAUCUUUCAGCUGCUAUUUAAUUCGAUAAAAAUGCACUGAUUUAGCACAAGAUCCAUUAAUCUGGUCACUAAUUACUGUAAAUAUCCAUUAAUUUAAAUAAUUUUUGCAGGCGUUAAUUGCUAUGAACCAAGUCACAAAAGAAGUUAGCCGGGGAAAUUCUGACGUCUUCUCAAUGAAACCACUUGAAUAUAAUCGCAUCAUAGUUUUAUCACUGGGAACGGGUACCACUACCGCCAAAGGAGGAGGAAGGUACGAUGCAGAUGAAGCAGCCAAGUGGGGCAUUGUGGGUUGGCUCACAAGUGAUGGUUCAACUCCCCUUGUUGAUGUAUUCACCCAAGCAAGUUGUGAUUUGGUCGAUUUUCAUCUUUCCACUGUUUUUCAAGCCCUUCAAUCAGAAGAUAAUUAUUUAAGAAUUCAGGUAGCUAUCUGUGACUUAGGUUGCGUUUGGAUUGCAUUUUCCAUGAUUUUUCAUGAAAAAAUUACUGUAACAAUUUGAUGUAUGUGAGGAAAAAAAGGUAAUUGGAAAAUGUGAUCACGGAAAACGAUGUAAUUUUCCGACGGAAAAUCGCAGUCCAAACAAGUCAAUUAUAUUUUCCUCAUUUCUUUCUCAUAACUAACACCUAUUAAAAUGAGAAAAGUCAGAGAAGCCGACAUUUAUUUUAUUUUUUUCCCACGUGCAUGUACAAGUAGAAGAUCUUUAAACGAUUCAUGACUUUUUCUCCCCAUAUAUCCGAUUAUGGAUUUGGGGCAGGGAUGGUCCUGAGCAGUUCACGGUCAAGAUUUGGCCAAAAAAAUUGUACGGUCCAGAUCUUAUCUUGUAUCUCGUUUUUAAUAACAUGUGUGGGAUUCACAAAAUUUUGUUCUAAAAUUAUAUGUUGUUGAAAGUAAGUUAUAUCAUGUACAAACAGAAUUACGCCGUGUGGAAAAUGCACAUAACCUUCAGGUGCUUUGGUCCAUCCAAUUAUGCAUGCAUGCAAGAUGACACCUUUACUGGCGAGUUGUCUUCGGUGGAUAUCGCGUCGGAUGAAAAUUUACAGAAUCUCGUUAGGGUAGGUGAGGAAUUGUUGAAGAAACCAGUUUCCAGGGUAAAUUUGCAGACUGGUGCUUUUGAACCUUUAAAUAAGGGCACAAAUGAAGACGCUCUAAAGAGGUAUAAUUAUUAUCUAGCUAAUUAAAGCCCCUUUCUUUGGCUUACAUUAAAUUAACUUUGGGUUCUUAACCUCAAAUCUAGUAAAAUAUGUAUCUUAAGAUAUGGUUUUGGUUCAUUGAAAUUGAAUUCAUUUAGAAAAUAAAUGUUAAGAUUUGAUCAUUUUAAAAUUCACCUCCUUGAAAUUCAUAGAUAUAUGGAACCAGAAAAUUUACAUCAAGGAGGGGAACUUUAACAAUCCAUAUUCAGUCCGAGAAACACUCGCAGAGUUCGACUCUUAUUUGUAGGAAGAGACCUUGCCCGACUCAUGUAGGGUUGCUGCAAUGGUAAAUCGUAUUAUUAUAUAUUCUCGUAGUAUUCAUCUUAGACUGAUACUGGUUAUGAUAGCUGCAUUUUGUGGCAGCAUUUUCGUUACUUGUAUCUUUCCAGGAGGUCUACACUAACUUUGUGUGUCUAGAGACUGAACACAAUUUUUGCAAUGUGAAACUGCAGGAGAAACAAACACAUCUUCUUGAAUUUUAAAUUAAACGAAAAUAAAGUCAGAUAACAAGAGAAAAUUUAGUAGAGAGCUUAAACCUGAAACUUGAAAGUUGACAUCCACAGAAAUUUGCACUUCACUUUAUUCUUAAACAAAAUAAAUGAUGCUUGGAUACAUUUAUUUAUUUAAUGUGGAAGGAAUGCUGGGGGAGAGUGUUUUAGGAUGAAAAAAUUGAGAUACGGACACGAGAAAAAAAUUGUUUGUUAGACUAAUUAAUAAUUUUUAGCGAAAAAAAAACUGUUUAUGAAAAUUGGAGCCUCAAUUAUAUGACUGAAAGUACAAUAACAUUAUUCGUGAGAUAGUUUUUCUCCGUACCUUUUCAAACCUUCCCCAUUUGUACCAUCACUUUCUAUCGUCUCAACUAGGGGUGAAAUCGAGCCGAGUCGAGCUCGAGUAGUAACGUACUCGAGCUCGAACUCGAUGCUGACCUCCAGAGCUCGAGAAAUAAAGAUCGAACUCGACUCGAUAGUAACAUAAAUAGGCUCGAACUCGACUCGAUUGAGCUCGGCGUGCUAUUCGAGCUCGAGUCCUCGAACUCGAUUUCAUCCUGCGCCCUUAACACGAGCUCAAUAUUGAGUCGAGUACUCGACUGGAGCUCAAUUUGAUCAUGCACCCCUACUCGAGCUACUCGACGAGCUAAAAUUGCAUCAUCCUAACUACUCGAGAUCGACUCGUUUCAUAUACUCGAGCUACUUGAGCUCGACUCGAGAUCGAACAAAAUCGAUCUCGAGUCGAGUAGCUAAUCAAGCUACUCACGAGCUCGAUUCAAGCUACUCGAUUGGUGUGCACCCCUAGUCUCAACUAGACCCGUCCCCAGAUUUACCCUUGAAACGGGCUUUCUCAGCAAUUCAGUACCUAUAAUGACCAAGUUAUCCGAAUUCUUCUUUGUAGCUAUAUCAACCGAAGAUACCGUCCCAAUCAGUGUAUCAUCCUGAAUGCGAAGAUAGCUAUCGUCAGAAUGAAGAGCUUGGAAGACUUCAGAAAUGUGUAAAUCAACCAUAUCUGUACUGGCUUGGGUGAAUGCAUCCACCAAGGGAGUGGAAUGUCCGGAAAGUGACCAUCCAAAUACUCCCCAUUUAGCAGCCUUUGCUGCAUUGCACUUCUGCUGAUCCUGUGCCUGUUGAGAUCAUAGAAAGCGGCAACAAUCCAUGGACUUAAUUGGGAAGAAUUCUGGAUUUCCAUGGAAGAUCUGCUUAGUUACUUCGCUUCUGGCAACUGAGGCCUGCAGCCAAGAAAUCAAUGCAUAUUAUUCUUUUAAUUGAUUUGUCGAACUUGUAUAUCAAUUAAUGUUUACAGAUAUAGGGUUCGAGUAUCGCUACAUGUGAGUUGUUGAGUCUGAUUCCUUCUACUGUUUGUUCGUUGGUUGGUUAUUUUAUUCAAUUAUAAGCUGUUUGUAUCGAUCCCAGUAUAAUGGGUUUGUAGUCUUAUAAAGUGCAUUAUAAAUUUUUUUGCAUAUAUUUCGGAUUGAUUGAGUUUUCUUCGGUAGAUUUAAUCUACACUCACCAACCAUGAAAUAAUUUUUUCCACUAUGUAAUGUAUGCACUAAACAGUCUGCACUUAUGAAAUAAACUGAUGUGUUAUGUGUUCUAGUGCAAAUAUUGUAACCACAACAGUCUGCAUUCUGGAAAUAAAUUACCGAUUUGUUAUAUUUUUUUCAGGGCUACUGAUUAUGUUACAUAUUCUGAUGCAAAAACUGUAAUCCAUCAUUGGUAGGGUAUUGUUGAAACUUAUGAUAAUAGAUUAGCUAAUUUAAGUACACGAGUACCAGACCGGAUUAUUUGCAGCAACGCCACCAUCGAUAAGGUUGAAUUCUCCAGCAUUUCCAAGUUCAUCAUGAUUCUGGAAGCUAAAUUGGUGCAUUUUGUUAAUAUAAGAGUUUUUUAAAUCUAUAAUUGAAUUCUUUCGUCAAAUCUCAACAUUAGUUCAAAACUUGAACUAGUUGGAUAGCAUAGCAGAUCGGAGAGGAUAAAUAUGCAAAAAUAUUUAUAGAGUAACUCGUGUAAUUGGUCAGAUUUAUAAUUCAUAGUGUAAUCUUUCUUAUUUUACAACUCUAUUAAAUUUAAUAAUUUUUUUAAUUAGAUAUAUCUGAAGUACCCAAACAUAUAAAUACAUAUAAAUCCACAGGAACAAUAUCAAAAAUUUGAUAUAUGAGACAAAGGAAAAGAAAUUUUCUUCUAUUAUUCAAAGGAGGUUGUGGCUACACAAGUACAAAAAUAAAAAAGCAGAGGCUUUAUACAACCUGUGUACCCCACGGACUUGCCCAACUUAUUAGUACUACCAAUAUGGGAAUUUAUCCCAUGUGACCAACUUUUGACUUGCCAAAGAAACUAGCCAAUAAAGAAAUGACACGUGGCCAAUAAAAUAAAACUAACCAAUCAAUACUAGUUUGGUUUAUAUUUCUACAUUGCCAACUUUUGACUACAUGGAAUUCUACAUGGAAUUUAUAUUUCUACAUGGAAUUAAUCCCAUGUGACCAACUUUUGACUUGCCAACGAAACUACCCAAUAAAGAAAUGACACGUGGCCAAUAAAAUAAAACUAACCAAUCAAUACUAGUUUGGUUUAUAUUUCUACAUUGCCUCCCUUAAAUCAAGCUCCUCAAAUUUGGUCAUCCCCAACAUCUUCUUCAACUUGACAAAAAUAUCCGUCUUUAAUGUUUUGGUGAAAAUGUCAGUUACUUGCUCUUCAGUUCUGCAAUAAUCGAUUUCAAUUUCCCUCUCUCAAACCAAACCACAUAUGAAGUGAUAUUUGAUAUCAAUAUGCUUGUUACGCCAAUAGAGUACUGGAUUCUUGGACAACUCAUUUGCUGACUUACAAUCACAAUAAAUUUUCGUAGGAUCAACCUAUUUGUGUUGUAGGACACCAAGUAUGCGACGUAACCACAAAACUUGAGUAGCACUGUUAGCUACUGUAAUAUAUUCCAUCUUCGCUGUAGACAAUGUAAUCACCUGUUGCUUCUUCGAACUCCAGGAAAACACAUCAGAACCAAUAAAAUAUGCAUAAUCUGAAGUACUCUUUCUUUCUACUGUAUCACCUGCCCAAUCACUAUCUGUGCAGUCAAACAAUUCAACUGGAUCAUUUCUUGAAUAAAAAAAAUGCCAUCACUGCGAAUACCUCCAAUAUAUCUCAAAAUCCUCUUGGCUACCUGCAAGUGUGACUAAGGUGGAUUUUUCAUGAACCUGCUAAUCAGACCAAUAGCAAAAUUGAUAUCUGGUCUUGUAGACGUCAAAUAUCUCAAACUUCCAAUCAGACUUUUAAAGUAGGUGGGAUUCAUAUAUCCAUCAGUGCUUUCCUUGAUCAAUCUCAAUUUUUCUUCAACUGGUGUCAUAAUUGACUUUACUGUACCCAUUUUAAACUUCUUUAAAAUGUUACUUGCAUAUUUUUUUUAAGAUAUAAAAAUUUUACUGUUAGACUGAAAGACUUCAAUUCCUAAAAAAUAUAACAUGAGUAUCAUAUAUGUCAUCUCAAACUAUUUAAUCAUAACUUUCCUGAAUUCUGCUACCAUUUCUGAAUUAUUCUCUAAAAAAUGAGAUUAUCUACGUACAAGCACACAGUAACAAUAUCACCACGAAUAGAAGAUUUAAUAUAUAAAGUGUGCUCAUAUGUACACCUCUAAAAAUCAUGAAUCAAAAAUAGGAAUCAAUUCUUGUAUACCACGCUUUUGGAGUUUGUUUCAAUCCAUAUAAGGUUCUCUUCAAUCUAUACACCUUAUUUUCCUGACCUCUAUUGACAAAUCCUGCCGGCUGCUUCACAUACAUUUCUUCAUUAAGAACUCGAUUCAAGAAAGCUGACUUGACAUUCAUUUGAUAAAUUUUUCAGUUAUUUUGAACAGUUAGAGAAAUUAUUAUACGAACUGUGUUAAACCUCACAACGAGUGCAAACACUUCAAAAUAGUCAAUCCCAAAUUUCUGCUUGUAUCCUUUCACCACUAGUCUCGCAUUGUAUCUAUCAAUUUCUCCAUUGGAUUAAAAUUUUGUCUUGUACAUCCACUUCACUCCAAUGACUUUUUUACCAAUUGGAAGAGAAGUAAGUUCUCAGGUGUCAUUCUUCUCCAUUGCACGAACAUUUUCCUCCAUUGCCUUCAUCCAACGAUUAUCACUGGCUACUUCUUCAUACACAACUGGGUCACAAUUUGCAAACAAAGCAAAAUUAACAAUAUCUUCGUCAGGAGGAAUAUCAUCUAGUGUAAUAACAUAAUCCUGCAGACGAGCUGACAUCUGUCACCGAUGUUGGGGACGUCCAUUUAACUCAGUUUGUGGAUCUUCAGCAACUGAUAAUACCUGAAUAUCAUAAUUAUCCUCCUCUUGCUGAUAAUUUAGAGUCACCCCUGCUGUUUCAAGAUUUUCAGUAGACAAAUCCCAAACAGUUCUUUCGUCAAAAGUCACAUCUCUACUCACUAUCACUUUUUUUGUCACAAGAUUAUAUAACCUGUAAGUUCGAGAGAUAUCACUAUAACCAAUAAAUACACACUUCUCCCUUUUACCAUCAAGUUUCUUUCUUAAUUGAUCAGGAAGAUGGGAAUAGAUAAUACACCCAAAAACUCUGAGAUGACCGAUAAAUGGUCUUCUUUCAUUCCAAACUCUUUCAGGAGUUUUUUCGGAAAUACUUCUGGUAGGACAUCUGCUUAACAGAUAAAUUGCACAAGAAACUGCAUCUGCUCAAAAUAAUUUUAGCAUAUUUUUUACUUUCAAUAUACAUUUCACCAUAUCCAUAACUGUCAUAUUCUUUCUCUCCACCACUCCAAUUUGUUGGGGAGUGUACCUGGUAGUCAACUGAUAUUGUAUCCUAUUUUUCUCAAAAAAAAAUCAUCACACACCAAAUAUUCUUGAUUCCUAUCUGUUCUCAAAAUUUUAAUCUGACAUCCACUUUGUCUCUCAACAAAAGUUUUAAAAAUUUUAAAAUGUCAUAGGCAUCAGAUUUUUGUUUCAAAAAAUACACCCAAUCUUUUCUAUUGAAAUUAUCAAUAAAGGUAAUAAAAUACUUGCAACCACCAUUAGAAGGAACCUCCACAGUUCAUAAAUCCGAAUGAAUAAUUUCUAAUGGUCUUCUGACCCUCCAUGAUUUGCCAAUCUGAAAAGCAUUCCUAUGUUAUUUUUUCAAAACGCACAUAUCACAGAUUCUACCAGAAUUUCUAAUACUAGGCAAUCCACCAACCAUUCUUUUAUCGGUCAAAAAUUUUAAAUUAUCAAAAUUCAAAUGACCAUAUCAUAUAUGCCACAACCAAUUACUGUUAUCUAUUAUUAUACUCAAAUAAGAAAAAUUGACACUACUCAAAUUCAGUGGAAAUAAGUGAUUUGAAGUCAUUGGUACACUAGUAAUCAUUCCAAUAUUUUUAUCAAAAAUAGUACAAACACCAUUUCUGAUACAAAUAUCAUUUUUUUUCCUCAAACAAUUAGCCUGUACUCAACAAAUUUUGAUAUAGCCAGGAACAUAGAAAAUAUAAAAAAUAAAAUCAAUAGACCUAUUUUUCAAGUUAACAGAAAUUUUUUCCUUGUCAAUCACUGGUAAAACAGUGUUAUUCCCAAAUUCAACUUCAUCACAGACAGAUUUAUCAAUCUCAACAAAUAAUUCUUUCUUGUCAAACAUAUGGUUACUACAACUCUUAUCCAAGUAUCAUUUAUUUUUAUCAACCAUAUCAACAGCAUUAUGGGCUAAUAAUAAAGUUUCAGAUUUUUUAUUAUUAUCUUGCACCUGAUUGUCAACAACAUUAGCCUGAAAAUUUCUGUCUUCAUUUUCUCCAAAUCUACAUUUAAAUUGUCUAUGACCUAAUUUUUCAUAAUUAUAACAUUAAGCUCUUUGUCCAAAAUUAUUUUGAAAAUUAUUCUGAUUAAAAUUAUUUUUCUACCAAAAUUACCACUUCUGCCUCUACCAUAACCACCUCCAAAAUUGAAAUUAUUACCUCUACCGCAUCCAAGAUUUGAUGUACUUCCUCGGCCUCUAUUAUUGUUGUCACGAUCACUUCUGUUAUUGUAACCACCUCUGUUCCUUUGACUGGAUUCGCCUUGCUCCAUAACAUUAUUAUUGUCUCUCAAAUUCAACUGUACCUGCAACGUCUUUUUUACUGUAUUUUUCUCCGGGGUAUCUUCCAAUUUUUAAUUAAUUCUUUGUUCGUGCAGAAUUAAUAACCCAUGCAAAUUUUCAAUAUUCAAAUCCUUCAAAUAUUUCGUUUCUUGGAUUACAGCUAUCACAUGAUCAAAUUUCAUAGGUAGGGUAUUGAGAAUUUUCUCAACAAAUGUUAUGUCAAGAAGGUUAUACUGAUUCAGUUUCAUCUCGUUUUUAAUAUCUGACAAACAAGAAAAAUAUGACUCAAUAGACUCCGACUUUUCCAUCGUCACGAGUUCAAAUUUUCUCUUCAACAUCAUUAAAUUAUUUUGUUGGACCCUGCCAAUCCCUUUGUAUGUUUUCUUCAAUAUAUCCCAAGCCUCUUUUGUCGUAUUAGUUGUAGUAAUUUUUUCAAAAAUUGAAAUGUCAAUUGCCUGAUGAAUCUGUGACAAAGCCAAACUAUCUUUCGCCUUAUCAUCCUCACUGGCAUCUUGGGCAAGUGCAGAUUCAAUAUAUCGAUGUAAUUUUCAUGCCUUGAGAUGGGUUAUCAUUUAUUUCUGUUAAAAAUUGAAACUCCACAUUUAUUUUGAGUUUUUGAAUAAAACAAAUAAUAUUGGGGUUAAAGCUUGCUAUAUUUCAAUCUACCAUAACUUUGGUACCACUUUGAAAGACCCAAAUAAAUAAACACAUAUAAACCGACAGGACAGGAACAAUCUCAAGAAUUUGAUAUAUGAAGCAAAAGGAAAGAAAUUUUCUUCUAUUACUCAAAGGAGGUUGUGGCUACACAAGUACAAAAACCAAAAAGCAAAGGCUUUAUACAACCUGUGUAUCCUACAGACUUGCCCAACUUAUUAGUACUACCAAUAUGGGAUUUUAUCCCAUGUGACCAACUUUUGACUUGCCAAAGAAACUAGCCAAUAAAGAAAUGACAUGUGGCCAAUAAAAUAAAACUAACCAAUAACACUAGUUUGGUUUAUAUUUCUACAAUAUCUGUGUCAUAUUCUUUGUAUUUUCUACCAUUGAUAUAGUUUUCUUUAUCAAGCAAAAGAAAAUCGUACUGGAAAUGUUUCCAACUAGUUUAUUAAUUACAUUGGCUUCCGUUUUAUUAAAAAAAAAAAAAAAAAUUGGAGUUGCCGAUGUGCUGAUGCAUUAGUCGGAGAGACGAGCAAUUAUGGAUUUCUUUUCCUGGGCCUGCAUGCAUAUGGUGACGAAUACAAGCCCAAAUCAGAAUUCUUUGUUUUUUCUAGCUAAAAUAAUAAUAUAUUAUUAGAUAGAGCAGGAAGUCAACACAAGCAGUUAAAAUAUCUGCAAUGAGAACUAAAAAGAAACUCUACGAUAAGCACACAAUUCGAUCACUCCAAUACCUUACAAGUCUUUUCUAUUUGGUGCUAUAAUAUCACAUGAUAAACAAAUUGAAAAUGUCAAACCAAACCAUCAACUGAUUAGUUUCUUCAGCUACAUUUUCUUUUCUUUUCUUGUCUUUUUUUUUUUUUUUGUUUUCUGUUUGAACUCUUGAUUUUACUGUUUACUUUUUCCAGGAAUAUCCUGAUUAAAAUCCCAGUUCAAACUACUAAAAAUUGAAAAAAUUGUUAAGAAUUCUCCAAUCUCCUCAUUUGACACAGGGAAAAUUAAAGGAAAAAGAUUCCAAGAAUCAGACCCAUAAAAAUAUAUUGUACAUUAGAUAGCUCCAAGUACAUCCUUCUCCUGAGAUGGUUUUUGAUUUUGCUCAGUCGUUGAUCGAGCUUGGUAAAAUUCCUCCACGAGCAUUAUUUAUUUGUCGGUGUAAUCGAGAACCUCUAGCAGGGUCGGCGGCAGCCAGAGGCAAGAUUCUAGGGGGCAACAAUAUAUCUAGCCUAGCUAAUCUCAAGUCAAAAUGCAUGAUAAUCUACAAGUCCAGAUGCAUGAUCCUUGCAGUUCUUACAUUUUGUCAUGUGUAUAAAGGUUUUUGUUUUGGGUGUUUCCUUCAACUUUCAUUUUACUGUUUGCUUAUUCAAGUGCAUUGGAUGCUAGGCCAAAUAUUCUUUUUUUUAUUUGUCGCGACGAUAGAAUUUUUAUAAUUUAAUCUAACCUAAUCUAAAGAGAAGGGGAAGGGGAGGGGACUCGAUAUGAGUAGAAAUUUUAUCGAAAAUAACCACUGAAAACCGUCACAAAUUAUGAACAAAUUUUUGUGAAAGAUAAGGGUCGAAUCCUUGACCUCCCGCAUCAUUAAGGUUUGGCAGCGAUCACCGGACCAAAGACCCAAUGCCAAAUACACAAUGAACGACAAUGGCACAGCAGUGGACGUUGACGGUUGACCAGCUAAUUACUUGAUGCAUGCACGAUUCUAUCAUGCUUCAUUUAAAGGCACAUUUUUCUACACGUGUAAAACUUGAAGCCCUGGUGUAGACGGUCCUCAAAUCAUUGGGCAUUUUCGAAAUUAUUUUAGUUUUUCUUUAUUUCUUGUGGGGUAAGAAAUUGUUAUAGUUGGUAGGACAGACACACGAAAGUAAGCAAUGGCGGCCACGUUGAAGUAAUGCUUUAGAAUAUGAAUGAACUUCCACUAAUCUUGAUUUUUGUUUUUUUGGGGCAGUAUUGGCUGACACGUUUGAGGCUGUGAGUGAGAUAAGAAGACUUGGAAAAUGAUGAGGCUUGAUACUGUUUCGUUUCGUUCGAAAAUUAUAUACCUGUAUUAAUUUAGAGAGGACAACAUCAUUAACAGAAGCCAGUGGAGUUUUUCUCCGGGCGGUCUCCGAACCUUAGGCAUCGUCCAUGACGGAUCAAUGUAAUGCUUUUUUCCUAAACAAACGUCGUCGUGCUUAGUAAAAGUUGCUAUUAAAGAUUGAUAGGUUACGUACGAUACGACCCACUAAGAAUUAGUUGGACGGAGUUUUCCUGUUAAGAAAGGCAAAAGAAAAAGAAAAGAAAAGAAAAGAGAAAUAUUGAAUGGGAUAGCCACAGCCAUUGAAAAGAACCCCAUAAUCUUCUCCAGUUUAUUCUUUCAAAACUAACAUUAUUCAAAGGGAAAAUUGCAGAAGCCUUCCUGUUGUUUUUGACAAUUUCACUGUCAAGAUUUUAAAAAUUACACUAAUCUCCGUCAAUUUAAUAAUAUUAGUAGCAAAACCUUAAAAUUUCUAAUUGACUUGGUCAAAAUUUUAAAUAAAUACUUUAAAAUGUCCCUGUUUAGUAAAGUUUGAUUUACUUUCAUAAAAAAUUGCAAGAUAAGUUAGCACAAUUAUGAGGGAUGGGUCCCAAAGUUUUUAUGCGUUUGAUGAGAAACUAUGACAAUAAUUGUGUAUUACAACAAUGGGCAACUUUGUUCUGGGGACAGAUAGGUAGGUAAUGCAUCGCAAUAGAGAGAUAGCUUAGUUUAGGGAUUUCCUGAGGUAAAUCUUGGGGGUUUUCCUAUACCUUUGGAUAAGCCUACUACAUGCACCAUCUUUCCAAUGAAAAGUAGAUGAGUUUAAUUUGCAUAAACAAAAAACGUGCCUUUUUUUUUUUUACUUUUUGUUUUGACGUUAAUGAGCUAAGUACUUCGAAGAUGGAGUAGGAAAACACUAUAAAUACCCCCACUUCGUCAUGGAUGCAGCACACAAAAGUUUCAACAAUCACAAUAUACAAGUCUAAAAAGGGUUUCAUUUUCUUCCUUGUUUUGCUUCAUUUUAGUAUUUGAAACCUUCAUUUUCUGAGUUCUUUUUCUCCAUUCCUUUGUAUUUAACUUACAAUCCAUCAUGGCAACCACCGUAUCAGCUUUGAAGCCUCAAUCUUAUGGAAAUUGUGUGACCAUCCUAAGCAUUGAUGGUGGAGGGAUCAGAGGAAUCAUCCCCGGAGUAAUCCUUGGAUAUUUAGAGACUGAGCUUCAGGUUUGAAAAUAAUUAAUCUCUCCAAUCUUUAAUUUUGUGUAGCGUAACUACACAAUCAUGGACUCGAUUUGCACGACUAUUCCAUGGACCAAAAGGAAAAUUGAAUCUCUCUUUGUACUAAUUCAUUUCUUGAAUGGCCUUGGUGUAGAAAUUCUCUUUGUACAUAAUUCAUUUUUGGAAUGGCCUUGGUGCAGAAAUUGGAUGGUUCGGAUGUAAGACUUGCUGACUACUUUGAUGUGAUUGCCGGCACAAGCACUGGUGGCCUUGUGACUGCCAUGCUUACAGCUCCAAAUGAGAAGAAAAGACCUCUUUAUGCUGCGAAAGAUAUCAAGGACUUCUACCUUGAGGAGUGUCCCAAAAUCUUCCCUCAAUCAAAGUAGAUAUCUUAAUUAGACUUUUUUUUUUUAUACCAUAUCUUAAUUAGACUUUUUUUUUUAUACCAUAUCUUAAUUAGACUCGAUCCAUCUUCAUUCCAAAUAAUUUAAUGCGUACUAUAUCAAGAAACUCAAAUUGUGUAUGCUACUUUUAACUUACAAUUGACACGACUUUCGUCCAUGACCAGUCAUCUAUUCAGUGGAGUCGAAAACGUGGUGAAAUCAAUGACAGGACCCAGCUAUGACGGGAAAUAUCUCCAUUGCAUGCUCCGGGAAAAGCUUGGCCAGAGCAGAUUGCACGAUGCAUUGACUAAUGUUGUCAUCCCAGCUUUCGACGUCAAACUAUUCCAGCCCACCAUCUUCUCCAGCUAUGCAGUUCGUACCAAUUCAAGAAACCUUGGUUAUUUUAGUUAGACUAUUGUUUACUUUUAUCUCAUCCAACAGAAAUUAAUAUGGUUCGUGUUUUUAAUGGCUCAGAUGAAGCGCUUUUCAAGUUUGGACGCCUUGCUCAGCGAUAUAUGCAUAUCAACUUCGGCUGCUCCUACUUAUCUUCCUGCCCACAAAUUCGAAACUAAGGAACCUGAUGGCAGCACAAGAGAAUUUCACAUGAUCGAUGGUGGCAUGGCGGCCAACAAUCCGGUAAGAUAUUAAAUCUCAUCUAUCCCAUGUUAAUUUGAGAGCCAUGCACUAAUUAUUUUAUUACAAAAUUAUUACUUUCCUCAUGAUUACUGCAAUUUUAUAUCUGUCGACUGUAUUUUCUUCAGACCUUAGUUGCUAUGGGCCAAGUGACUAGGGAGAUUAGUCGAGGAAAUCCCGACUUCGCCUCUGUCGGUUCAUCGGAUUAUAGUCGUUUCAUUGUUCUGUCCUUGGGAACGGGUACUA